AUGGGUAUUUUGAAGCAACUUAUUAUUCAGUUUCCAAAGGUCACACGUUUGGCGCUACCGUCCAAAGGUUUUAGAAAGCAUCAAGAUCCUAAAAUCCCUGCAUGUUUUCUAACAUAUCCAGAAUCGAAAGGACCCACUGAAGCUUUGGUCGGGAAAGGAGAAAAUGUUGGUUUACCUACACAACCUGAUGUGAUAGUGAUUUCAUCUGACAGUGAAGGACUGUCUAGAGAAGGAUCAAAAUGGAUAUAUCGUCACAGUCGUAAUCAGAAAUUGACCCCUCAUUUGUGA